rnacentral:lncRNA from 1 species
UGAGCUUCCUACACAAGUGACAGAGGAAGAUUCCAACUCGGUCGGGCCCCAGUGAAUUAGCUGGUCACUGGGCACAGGGGGGCACAUAUGGGCCUGCUUCUAGGCAGCAGAGAGCAGGCCACACACAGGACAAGGGACGUUCUGGGGUGAGUUGAAGUGGGCUGUGCUUUUGCAGGAAAGCUUUAAUCCGGUGCUGGGAACGAGAGGACAGACUGACGCGCUCGGUUGAGGCUCAGGUAGGUGAGAGGGAGAAAGUCACA